rnacentral:rRNA from 1 species
CCUACGGGUGGCAGCAGUGGGGAAUAUUGCACAAUGGGGGAAACCCUGAUGCAGCGACGCCGCGUGAGUGAAGAAGUAUUUCGGUACGUAAAGCUCUAUCAGCAGGGAAGAAAAUGACGGUACCUGACUAAGAAGCCCCGGCUAACUACGUGCCAGCAGCCGCGGUAAUACGUAGGGGGCAAGCGUUAUACGGAUGUACUGGGUGUAAAGGGAGCGUAGACGGCAGCGCAAGUCUGGAGUGAAAUCCCAUGGCUUAACCAUGGAACUGCUUUGGAAACUGUGCAGCUAGAGUGCAGGAGAGGUAAGCGGAAUUCGUGGUGUAGCGGUGAAAUGCGUAGAUAUUAGGAGGAACGCCAGUGGCGAAGGCAGCUUACUGGACUGUAACUGACGUUGAGGCUCGAAAGCGUGGGGAGCAAACAGGAUUAGAUACCCGUGUAGUC